rnacentral:lncRNA from 1 species
AGCAUCUACAAUGAUCUUUUAAUUUUUACAAGUUUAUUCAUGGCCAUAUCUAAUGGAUCUUUAUAAUUUUUCUAUAAAUAUGAGUCCAUAAUAGGGGUCUCAACUCUCAAUUUGGUCCGUCGGUACAAGUUUAUUCAUAGUCUUUCCUUAUAAUUUUCUUAUAAAUAUGGGUACAUAACAGGGGUCUCAAUUUGGCCGGUCGGGUCAAUCCAACCCUAAACCCAUUGAGUUGAAGAUUAAAUUGUGUUGGGUUCAAUCGAUCCACUUUGAUUAUUUGGGUGGGUUGGGUUGGGUUGGGUUGGGUAGGUUCAAAUGUUCAAGAAUGGAAUCCACAUUCGCCCAUAAACUCAACAUUGGGCUAACGGGUUAGAUAAUGGGUUGGGUAAACGGGUUGGAUUAGUUUUAGACUAAUGAAUCGGGUUACGUGUUAUCUUACACAAGUGACAAAUUCGUCUUAGUUGAAUCAAACAGGUUUUUAUUUGUUGUCACUUAUCACCUCAAUUAAAUUGGGAUUACAGUAACAAAUUUUAUUUAACAAAUUAAACUAUUUCUUACUUUUACAAAAUAGAAAGCUUUUAUUUAAUAUAAAAAAAUAAAAAUAUGAUUGAUAAUGAUAACAAUAGGUGUGUUACAUAAAUAUAAUAAAAAUAAAAUUAUUAAUUAUCAUUAAUAUAAAAAAUCUAUACUACAAGGUGCUUGAUUCCCGAGGCGCCUGUGAAG